GAUCCUGCUCAGGACGAACGCUGGCGGCGCGCCUAACACGUGCAAGUCGAACGGAGAUUACAGGCGGAAGUUUUCGGAUGGAAGCUUGUAAACUUAGUGGCGGACGGGUGAGUAACACGUGAGCAACCUGCCUAUCAGAGGGGGAUAACGAUUGGAAACGAUCGCUAAUACCGCAUGACAUAGCGGAACCGCAUGGUUUUGUUAUCAAAGAUUUUAUCGCUGAUAGAUGGGCUCGCGUCCGA
rnacentral:rRNA from 1 species